rnacentral:rRNA from 1 species
UACGUAGGUGGCAAGCGUUGUCCGGAAUUACUGGGCGUAAAGAGCGCGUAGGCGGGAAUUUAAGUCAGGAGUGAAAACUGGCGGCUCAACCGCCAGCCUGCUCUUGAAACUGGAUUUCUUGAGGGUAUGAGAGGAAAGCGGAAUUCCCAGUGUAGCGGUGAAAUGCGUAGAUAUUGGGAGGAACACCAGUGGCGAAGGCGGCUUUCUGGCAUACAACUGACGCUGAGGCGCGAAAGCGUGGGGAGCAAACGGG